rnacentral:rRNA from 1 species
UACGUAGGGCGCAAGCGUUGUCCGGAAUUAUUGGGCGUAAAGAGCUCGUAGGCGGUUUGUCGCGUCUGCUGUGAAAACUCGAGGCUCAACCUCGGGCUUGCAGUGGGUACGGGCAGACUAGAGUGCGGUAGGGGUGACUGGAAUUCCUGGUGUAGCGGUGGAAUGCGCAGAUAUCAGGAGGAACACCGAUGGCGAAGGCAGGUCA